AUGGCUCAGGACGAACGCUGGCGGCGUGCCUAACACAUGCAAGUCGAACGGGGAUUUGUUUCGGCAGAAUCCUAGUGGCGAACGGGUGAGUAACGCGUAGGCAACCUGCCCUCCGGCCGGGGACAACACUCCGAAAGGGGUGCUAAUACCGGAUACGAAGUCUGUGCCGCAUGGUACGGAUUUGAAAGAUGGCCUCUGUUUACAAGCUAUCGCCGGGGGAUGGGCCUGCGUCCGAUUAGCUGGUUGGUGGGGUAACGGCCUACCAAGGCGACGAUCGGUAGCCGGUCUGAGAGGAUGAACGGCCACAUUGGGACUGAGACACGGCCCAGACUCCUACGGGAGGCAGCAGUGGGGAAUCUUCCGCAAUGGGCGCAAGCCUGACGGAGCAACGCCGCGUGAGUGAAGAAAGGUUUUCGGAUCGUAAAACUCUGUUGUCAGAGAAGAACAAGUUGGAGAGUAACUGCUCCAGCCUUGACGGUAUCUGACCAGAAAGCCACGGCUAACUACGUGCCAGCAGCCGC
rnacentral:rRNA from 1 species